AUACGUAGGGGGCUAGCGUUAUCCGGAAUUACUGGGCGUAAAGGGUGCGUAGGUGGUUUCUUAAGUCAGAGGUGAAAGGCUACGGCUCAACCGUAGUAAGCCUUUGAAACUGGGAAACUUGAGUGCAGGAGAGGAGAGUGGAAUUCCUAGUGUAGCGGUGAAAUGCGUAGAUAUUAGGAGGAACACCAGUUGCGAAGGCGGCUCUCUGGACUGUAACUGACACUGAGGCACGAAAGCGUGGGGAGCAAACAGGAUUAGAUACCCUGGUAGUCCACGCCGUAAACGUUGAGUACUAGCUGUCGGAGGUUACCCCCUUCGGUGGCGCAGCUAACGCAUUAAGUACUCCGCCUGGGAAGUACGCUCGCAAGAGUGAA
rnacentral:rRNA from 1 species